AGCUGAUCAGCCAUGCCGCGUGAGUGAAGAAGGCCCUCGGGUUGUAAAGCUCUUUUUUCCGGGAAGAAAACCUUCCGGUUAAUACCCCGGGGUUCGGACCGUACCGGAAAAAUACGCACCGGUUAACUUCGUGCCCCCCGCCGCGGUAAUAA
rnacentral:rRNA from 1 species